GACGAACGCUGGCGGCGUGCUUAAUACAUGCAAGUCGAGCGAACAGACGCUGAGCUUGUGGCUCGGUCGUUAGCCGCGCACGGGUGUGAAACAUGUGGAUCACCUACUUGUCAGACUGGGAUAACCACGGGAAACGGGAGAUAAUCCGAGAUAAUCUAUUGCUGCGCAUUGGUCAAUAGUGAAAUACGGCUUUGCGGGCUCUAAUAGAUGCAUCCGCGCUGCAUUAGCUAGUUGGUACGGUAACGGCUUAUCAAGGCAACGAUGCGUAGCCGACCUGAGAGGGUGAUCGGCCACACUGGAACUGAGACACGGUCCAGACUCCUACGGGAGGCAGCAGUAGGGAAUCUUCCGCAAUGGGCGAAAGCCUGACGGAGCAACGCCGCGUGAGUGAUGAAGGUCUUCGGAUCGUAAAACUCUGUUAUUAGGGAAGAACAAAUGUGUAAGUAACUAUGCACGUCUUGACGGUACCUAAUCAGAAAGCCACGGCUAACUACGUG
rnacentral:rRNA from 1 species